ensembl:lncRNA
CGCCGCGGCCCGCUCCCCGCGGGCAGGGGUGGGCACCGCAGGGCGAGGACCCGGGCUGCGAACCGCGCUCCCGCUCCCGGCUCCUGCGCGAAACGGAGCACACUGACCCCGCUUCCCUCCCUCCUGGAGGCGCAUCCUGGACGCGACGCGCCCUCGGGCCACAGCAAAUUAUUGCUCAUUUGAUACCAAGAAUUCUAUUGACCACGGCUUUCGUUGGAGAGCGAAUUCUAACUACUGGCUGCUCUGUUGUCAGCUAGAGCUGAGGCUGGGAACCUUCCACAAGGCUGUGACGGCACACAGAGUCCUCUGCUCCAGGAAGUGCAGAGGUGCGUUCCUUACGGGGGCCCACUGGACUCGUGUAGAAAUCUGCUUUUUGUUCUGCGGGCCAGCAAAAGGUCAGCCUCUUUGGAAUGAAACUGCCCACUCAUUUGCCUCUCAGAACCUUUCUAGCAACUUCUUUUCAGCUCUGGCCAUGGUAGGCAAUGAAAUGAUGCAAACAGAUUGCUCCUCGAUCCUUUGGUCACCACUGCCCCAACACAGACACUUGGAGAAAUCAUUCACACCUCCCCGCCUCAAAAAAAAAGUCUAAAUGAGAGGCUUUACUGUCUGGCUAUGAUUUCCUAAAUUUCACUGCCCUAUCCCACUCCACCCCUUCCAGACCCAUGCUGUCGCAGCGGGGCAGAGCAGGGAGUGGGUGCCAUGAGGUCCACUGUCCCUCAUGCAGUGGCCACUCAGUAUCCAGAGAAGGCUGACCUCUGACCCCAGGCCAGCUGCUGUCGGGCUGGAGCUGUCCUGGCUACAGAGAGGACCUGAAGGGUUUGUUCCCGGGAAGCUGCUGGCAGCAGAUUCAGCCCUCUUGCACUGGGAGGAGCCAGUGCCGCCAAACCUAGGCCGACCUCUGCCUUGCACCAGGUGGCCUCUAUUCCAGCGGGUGGGCAUCAUGGGGGACAGAAGACCUGACCCACCCAGCCAGGGUGUGUGAGCCCCCCCCCCCAGGCAAAGGGAGCCGAAGCCGAGCCCUUCUGCAGCCUUCUUCCAGAACAUUGGGUCCCAUCUGCGGCCCCUGAAGCCCUGGACCCAGAGACAUGGACACCCUUAGCAGAACCUUGUCCCUGGCGCCUCCGAGGAGGAUACAGCACCUUGAGGUUGGGUGCAGAUGGAGAGAAAGGCCAAGGGCCGGUUUCCAAAGAGCACUGGGCAAGUGCGGCCCCAACAGCAUCAGCUCCCAAAAUCCGAAUCCCUUCAGGGGCUCCAGCAGACUGGCUUGGGGUGAUCGUCCCAGGUGCUGUUUCCCCCACUACUGGCCUCGCUGGGCAGUUAGGCAGAGCCUUGUUCCCAGAUGGGUUCGCUUGGAGGUCCUUCAGCUUCUGGACGGUGGGGAGUAUGGACGGGGUCGCAUUGUAGGGCUGUAUUUGCCUCGGCUUUUCCUUUUUGUUUCUAACAUAGAUAACGCUGGUGUGUGUUGUCUGCCUGCACCCAAAGCGAUGGUGUUCCUGGAAUGCAAGCACCGCCCGCCAUGCUUGGAGCAUCCUGCCGCAGAGAGAACACUUUCUCCUGGUCUCAGCCCAGACUGACAGCCUGGGGGCCUCGUAGGACACUCGGCCAGAUGACACACACACAAGGGCACCCAGAACCUGUGUCGUGGGCUCCCGGGCAGCUGUGGAUCCAGGAGGCAGGCUGAGCAAGCCAGCAACACUCGCUGCCACUUGUCCAGAAAGCAAGAAAGCGGCAAUAUCCUCAGUGUUAUUUAAGGGAAAAAGACUGGGACCUGCACUGGAGUUUAAAAGUUAGGGGCGGGCUGCUCCCCAGCAUUUCUUUGGAAGGAGGCAGAACUGAGAGCUAUGCAGCUGGCUUGGCGCUUCAGCCCAUAGGAGAGGAGGAAAUUCUCCUCCUCCUCGCUGCACCUUGGAGCAGGUCCUCUGGCAGAGCUCUCGGCUCCCCAGCACCCCGUCAGCCUCCUGCCUCUCCUGCCAGGCCAAUGGAACCAGCAGAACUCGAUAGUAAAUUAUUUUGUUCAGCCCUCUGUCUUUUUAUGAAAAUAAAAGCCAACACUUUGUCAUUUUUAAUCACGUAAGCAGAC